UUAAGUUCAGCGGGUAGUCCCACCCGAUUUGAGGUCAAAUGUUCAAAAUUGUCUCGAAGGACGGUUGGAAGCACAAGACGCCCCGAGCGCCCACGUCUCGGUGAGUGAAUUAUCACACCUGUGAGGCACAUCGAGGAUUGCACUGAUGCAUUUGAGGAGGGCCGACACGAUCGGCGACUCCCAAGUCCACGUUCAGAUCG
rnacentral:misc_RNA from 1 species